rnacentral:misc_RNA from 1 species
UGCGGAGGGUGCAAGCGUUAAUCGGAAUUACUGGGCGUAAAGCGCGCGUAGGUGGCUUGAUAAGCCGGUUGUGAAAGCCCCGGGCUCAACCUGGGAACGGCAUCCGGAACUGUCAGACUUGAGUGCAGAAGAGGAGAGUGGAAUUCCAUGUGUAGCGGUGAAAUGCGCAGAGAUAUGGAGGAACACCAGUGGCGAAGGCGGCUCUCUGGUCUGACACUGACGCUGAGGUGCGAAAGCGUGGGUAGCAAACAGG